AAGCUCGUAGUUGAAUUUCGGGGUUAGUAGGUUGGUCAUGCCUCUGGUAUGUACUGGUCUCACUGAUUCCUCCUUCCUUAUGGACCGUAAUGCCAUUAAUUUGGUGUUGCGGGGGAAUUUGGACUGUUACUUUGAAAAAAUUAGAGUGUUUAAAGCAAGCUAACGCUUGAAUACAUUAGCAUGGAAUAAUGAAAUAGGACGUUCGAUCCUAUUUUGUUUGGUUUUCCUAGGAUUGACGUAAUGAUUAAUAGGGAUAGUUGGGU
rnacentral:rRNA from 1 species